GUUGGUAAAGCUUGCGGUGCGUUUGACAGGCGUUUUGUAUAUGAUCCUAAGUAAGUUGUGUGUAGCCUAACUUAUGGGAUUAUGACCUUGGAUGUUGACUCUCUGUAGGCUUAACUUAUGGUAUUGUGUGAUGGUGUUCUGUUGCCCUUUGUGUAUGUGGUGGAGAUUGGUUUUAUGAGUGUGGUCUUCCGGAAACCGCACUUCCUUCAUCUGCCUUACAGAUGAUGGGGGCACGGUAUUUUUUCCCUAACUGUUUUCGGUAUACGGAGAUCAGGCGGUGGAUCUGAAGGGUCAAUGAUAGGGUAUGAUGAUGCAACAUUUCAUAAUACUACAAGAGGCGGUCGGGGCGUGUUUAACUUGACAGAGGCAAACCCCCGAACCACUUCUUCCCAACCCUGCAUAUGGUUCCCAAUCAUACGUCUACUACCAUACUAUCCUACUUGCGGUGCUUGCCAUUGCCGCUUCGGCAUGGACAUUUCCCUUGUAGACUUCUACUCAACUGAAAUUUAGAGCAUCAGUUUACCAUAGCAAUUAUGCGGUUAUUUCAAUCCCUUUACUACUUGUGACUCUGAAGCCACACACACACACACACACACACAAACAAACAAACAUGUGGAUGCAAAUUUCUUUCUCAUGAUCUUGGACAAAAUUGCACCUACAAAACAAAUCACACCUAAGGUCAAGGCCAAAAGCCUCACGCACCCACGAUGAAUUUGGGGGGGUGGGGCUUUGGCCGAACAACCUCCGAUGCCAAAGUAAAAAUUAAGAGAGAAAAAUGCUUAGAGAGUUUUUGGAUUUUUAAGAGUGUGGACUUAGGUUUUUAGAGGAAAUGAGGGUGAAUAUAUAGUGCAUGGCAGGUCCCAUUUGGAGAAAAGGUGGUCGGCCCCUUGGGUUAUUUUUGUGUGAGAUGGGUGAUUUAAUUGGCAUUUAUUGGAUUAAUUAGGUAAUAAAUCCAUUAAUUAGCCAAUUAACUCAAUUUAUAUGGAAUGUUUUGAAGGUUAUGGAAUAAAUACCUUAUGGAGAAUAUAGGAUGAGGAUAGAUGAAAUAAUUUUGAAUUUGUUACCUAUUUUUGGCAUUUUUGGCUUGAUUGAAUAAUGAUUGUCCACUGCUUGCGCGUAGGAAAUCUGAUGUGCCUCGAGGGUAAUUUUGUCCUUUUUACCACAAAUCCACGUGUCGUCUUGUGAUUAUUUUUGGCUCUACAAAUGCCCCCAUACCUGCUGGGCUGCUCGUAGGAAAGGGCAGCAGGUGAAGAGAUCUUGCUCUAGGAAACUUAGGACUGUUUCUUAUUUUGAUGUAUAUUCUCUCUUUAAUAGGAAAUUAGAUCCUUCUAGGAAAAGGAAAUAAAUUUCUCUCAAAGCCUAUUUAAGUCCACCUUAAGUGGGUUAUUAAAUCAACUUUGGAUAGUGAUUUAUUCUACCCUUUCCUUUAGCAAUCUUCUACAUCUUGCUCGUGCAAAGGAUCAUCUUUCAUUGCUUUUUUCGUCUUCUUCGUGCCGCACCGAGGUAAGAAAAGAUUAAUUUUCCUUGUCUUCUUCUUGGAUAGUGCGACAUGUCAGCUGGCAGGGGCCAGGAGUCGACUCGGAGGUGUUGUGGCAAGGACCACUGCUUGGGCUGCUCGACUUGGCUAGAACUAAAGGCAGCUUGCGCGGCUGGGGCCGAAAAUUUAGGCGUUAAGGCGCAGUGCUAGGCGAGCCGCAUGGCUUAUGUCCUUCGGGUUCUUGGACCUGAUGAGGGCCAGGUCAGUGAUUAAGGGAGAUGUGAAGGUUGCAGGCCUCAUGGGCUGCUAGAAUGCUGUGUAUGCAGGCCUUUUACCUACUGGUUCAAGAGAAAAAAUGAGGGAAAAGCUAGUCUGGGUUAAGCUCCCCUACUGAGUACUGUGAAUGGUGUUGGCUGCUUAGUUCUCUUCGCUGGGAGAAAGGUGGGCUGCUCCCGAGAGAUGAGGUAAAGAUGAUCAAGGCGGAUGCAUUGACUUGUCUGAAUGCUGCCAUGGAGCCUAUUAUUAAUGAAGGUGGAAAGAAGAGAUCUUCCCUGCAUGCUCAAGAGAUGCCGAUUGAGAAAACUGAAGACUUCCUCCACUGCUUGUGAGGGUCCGCUUGCUGCUGAGCGUCUUAUGAUUGACAUGACUUAUUCCAAUGGGAAGAAAAAUGAGGCUGCUAGAUUUGAGCAUGUGGCACCUGCCAUGUCGAGAAUGGCUUGUAUGAUUGCUGAUAAUAUUGCUCAGUGUAGAGGUAUUGUCAUGCCUCCAGUGCCGAAAUCUGUGCCAAGACGUCCAUUGGGCUCUAAGUCCUGUUCUCAUUCGGAAAGGCUUGCUAUUAUGAAGAGCGAUAAGGUAGACUUUGCUGCUAAAGUGGCACUAAGGCACACUCUCUCUGUUGCUGAGGCAGAUUCGCUUGCUGGGAAGGAGGAGACUGCUCAUGUGGGCAGCUGUGAGAAAUCCACUAAGCCUGCUUCUGGGGAGGUUGCUGAGAUCUGUGUGCUCUUGAAACCAUAUGUGCUUGAAGACAUGGACGCUUGUGCCAAGUUUGUUGAUGGCAUUUAGAAAAGUGUGUUUGCCCAAGUUCCUUUGCAAAGCAUAUGACCCAAUAUAGAAUGACUGCUCUGCUUGCUAUGAUGCAUAUAUAGCAAGGUUGCCAAGGAGAUGGUGAAGAUUAUGGCAAUUGAAGCUUAUUCAUCGGCCAAUGAGAUUAAGAGGUUGGAUUCUGAGCUUGUUGCUUUGAAAGGGUCUAAUAUUUCUGCCCCCACUUAUUUGCAGCUUGAGACUGCUCGCCAAGAUAUUGUUGACUUGAAGACUAAGCUUGAUGCGAUCCAAGUUAAGUAUGAAAGUGCAGAGAAUGAGAUUGGAUGUUACAUACCUCAGAUUCAAGAUCUUGAGUUUGCAGAUUCUGAGCUUCGUUUCGCUGCUUAUGCAAAGGAUAAAGAGUCGAUUGUUGUUUAUAAUCAAGUGAUCCACUUCAAGAAGGUCGUUACUAGGCUUGAACCCCAAGUGUUGGAACUUCAAGGUGUACUGAAAAUCAACGAAAUUCUGAAAAAUGAAGUGGAUGAGUUGUAGUGCGUCCAUGUUGGUCUGCUCGAGAAGGAUGAGUAGCUGAAGGGUGGGAAUGAUGGGCUCGAGGUUUCGAGAACUUCUCUAUUUCUCCGGAAGACUUGCUUGCUUUUACUUUUAAGGCUUCUAUUGGUGAAGUAGUUAGAGAAGUUGGUGCCCAGGUUGAGGCAGCCGGGGGUGAAGCGCUGGAUGAUGCCAUUACUAAGAAAGUCACCGUUACUGAAGGUGCGGCCACCGAGUAGUCGUGGGAUGCCCAAGCUGCUGAAGUGUAGUCUUUUAGGUAGCCUUUAGGAUUUUCUAUGUUUUUCCUUGUAGUUCUUGUUUUGCUUGAACUUCUUCGGCCUUUGCUAGUUGUUUAUAAACAUGCUUCUUUCAUUUUUCUUCAUAUUUUCUUCUUUUGUUUGUGCCCUAACCUUUAGACUUUAUAGACCAAUGGCAAGCGUGCUAUUUUUUUAUAAGCAGACAGACCUGCGUAGCCUAUGCAGCCGUAGGUAUUGGUGUAGAACUUUGCAAAGUUGUUAGCUAUAAGGUUGGCAACCGAAUGCCUUACUUACAGAAGCAGACAAGUCCGUGUAACCACUAGGCUGUUAACCCUGGCUUUCUCCAAUUUCGUAAGUUGCGUAACAAGUAUCACAACACUUUAGGACUUGGUGUAGGUUGUUACGCGCUUGGCAGAGGUGAAGCUUUAUCGACUACGUAGCAUGUCGGCAGUGGAUAAAGCUUCAUAUAUGCACACUAGCUUGUUUAACCUUUCACAAGAAUGUGUGGUUGUAUAAGUCUAGCACAACUUUACUACUCGAAGGGCAAACCGUAGGCAGUCUUCCGGAAACUGUAGGCUACUUUAGUGCACUCGGUAGCAGCUUUAGGGUUCCAGGGCAGCCGUCAGCAGGGUGUACUGCGUAAUAUGCCCCCUCCAUCUCUAGGGCUCGAUUCCCCGCGGAUUAGGCCAAAAGACCUAAAAUCCUUCAGUUAGCUAAGCUUUGAAAAAGACCAUUAUGGCUACUUCUAGGAAUCCCGGUGCAAGCCAUCGUGCAUCUAGUUAUACUAGGGCAGCCAGGCUCAUCCACGUCUGGAUAUUUGGAGUGUAGAGUUUAUCCUCUCGUCUUGGAGAGCUAACCUAUCUGGGUGUUAGUGAAUUGGUUUACCCUCUCGAACUGGAGAGUAAUUAGUUUACCUUAUCGCACUGGAGAGCAUGGUUGGUCCCUCGGAGGGCGCAAUUCCUACGAUGAGUCCCUAAGAAGGACGUGGUUUUCUUUUGAAGUGUAGGAGUGAUCAGUUGUUGUAAGCAUGCAGCCGAGCCAAGUUGUGAUUACUUUUGAAUUCCUCGUUGAAAAAUGAGUGAAGCGAACAAAAACUUAGCUAUAAUGUAGGAACUGCAUAACAAAUGGAUAGUCAUCGGCUUGUGAGGUGGUGCCCGUCGAGCUGCUUGAGUCUUGGGCUUUGAUGUAGCGGGAGGUCACGCAUGGUACUUCCUCAGAUUGUAAGUGAUCCACUGCUUUUUGAUCUCUUUGUCGUUCAUGGUGGUGAGGAUGUAAUUACCCUUGCCGUCUACUCUGCUGAUCUUGUACAGACCUUCCCAGAUGGGAUCCAUCUUUUUGGAGCUUUCUCUGCUUGCAGUGAUGAAGGCUUUUCCCAAGGCUAGAUCUUCAGGUUAGAAUUGCCGGAUCUUGGCCCUUUUGUUGUAGUUGAAGAAGAGCUGCUGGGAGGCUGCGAUGCGGAUGAUGGUCUGCUCGCGCUUCUCAUUUGCCUGAUCUAAACUUGUGGCCAUCUCCUUACUAUUAUGCUCAAUGCUUGGUAGUAGAGUGCUGAUGCUUGGCAAGAUAAUGUUGGGAAUAAUGAUUGUUUCCGAACCAAAUGCCAAAGAGAAAUGAGUCUCACCGGUUUUUGUGGUACGAUAUGCCCAUAGACAUCCGGGGAGUUCGUUUGGCCAUUUUGCCUUCUUGUCGGUGAGGGAUUUCUUAAGGCAGUCAUGGAUCGUUUUGUUGGAUACUUCGGCCUGGCCAUUGCCUUAAGAAUAUCUCGGCGUGGACGUGUGCUGCUUGAUGCCAUACUUUUGGAAGAACUUCGCCAAAUCUUUGCCCACGAACUCGGGUCGUUGUCGAUGACAAUGGACUGAGGGAUGCCAAAUCGACAAAUGAUGUUCCUCCGUAUAAAACACUCUAUGUCCAUCUGAGUCAUGGUUGUCAAGGGCUUUGCUUUUACCCAUUUGGUGAAGUAAUUAGUUGCCACGAUCAUCAUGCAUUUGCCCUUAGUAGUAGGCGGCAUAGGUCCUACCAGAUCGAUUGCCCACUGCAUGAACGGGCACAAACUCGUCUGCGGGUGUAGUUCGCUAGCAGGCAAUGCUGGUACCGGCUUAUAGCGUUGGCAACGAUCGCUCUUUUGUACUAACUCCUUAGCAUCUUGGUGCAUGGUAGAAGAUGGUAUAAAAAUAUGAUUUGGCAUUGUUCAUUAAAAUAUAAUUUCUUGCAGGGUUAUAGGGCUAAACAUAGCCCUUUGGCCCUCCUUUGGUUGGAGAUGGCUUUAGGGUUCUAAAGGCGUGGGGCUAUAAUUUUUUUUUUUAAAUUUAUGUGGACGAAUUUGACUACCACGUCAGCAAAAGUAUGAGCUUCGCAGUUACCAUAUCAUCACCUAAAUGGUCAAAUUGACAGUUUAAUUAACGGAUGUAUGAAAUUACAACGAAAAUAAAGUAAAUGUAUGAGAUUGAAAUGUUUUGAAGUUUGAAUUCUGGCACGUUUGGGUGUAGCGACACAUUGCAGUUAUUAGUAAAUUAUGCAAAUAAUAAGAAUUCGUUUAGGUUUAUACCUAGCAGAAUUGACGAAUUUCAGACCACCAUCUUGUUCAUACGAGCCUUCUUUGUUCUCGACCACAAAUGCCACCAUUUCUGUAUUCGAUUGCAUUUAGCCCAGGCAAAUUGCUUACAUAUGCUAUGUUCUUGCAUAAAGGUCAAACCGACAUAGUUCAUUUAAGUUGCAUUCAUUCAUUUGGUGCCACAUGUGAUGAAGCUCAAUCUUGAGCUGCCAUUGCAUUGAAGAACCAGCAAGGAUCCCCUUGAAGAAUCUCAAGUUGCACAAGAAGUACAAGUUGCUCUUAUAGAGUGUUUUAGGAUCUUAGCUUGUGUUUGUGAUUGAUUAUUGUAUGAACUUGAUAUUCUGCUAGUGGAAGGAGCUCUCUGGAGUUCCCCCGAUUGUUUGUACUCAAUUGUUGAGUUGUUGGAUUCGCAUAACGAUCAUAAUUUGUUGGUCUAGAAGAGAUUCAGAGGACGAGUUAUAUGACGACGGUGUUGGUUCAGAAGAGAUUCAGAGGAGGAGUUAUAUGACCAGUACACAUAUCCUUGUUUUGUUGGCAUGAAAACCCAUGUCAUAUAAGUUAUUUUUGAUUUAGAAAGAAUCCAGGUCUAAUGAAAACGACCAAUGGUAUGAUAUAUUGUUAAAUUCGAUGACUAUAAAACUAAUAUGAGAGUUCAUAUUAAAAUUAAAUUAGGACCGGUAGAUCCACAUGUUAAAUUUAUAUGGUUAGUCCAUUAUGAGAGACUUAGGUACACUCUCAACCCAUUAGUAUAUAUAUUAAGGAAAACUAAUGAAAAAGGCUUGAAAACUUUGAGUUUUAAUGAUAAAGACAAAAUAAAGGGUAAAGUGAAUAGUAUCAGGUUUGACUUUUUAGUGUAAAAAUGUGGUUUUUCGUUAAAGUGAACAGUACCGUGGGCUUUUUGUUAAAACUCUAUAUAUAUUAUCGUUGGUUAAAAAAAAAAAAAGGUAGGUCUGGUAGAUUUUGAACCGGUAGAUCCUAAUAGAUGGUUAGAAUUAAAUCGAAGGACAAAUAGGAACAAGGAGAGGGGAUCCUGGUCAUUUCAGAAUGGGAAACUUUAUUUGAAUCCAUGUAAACUCUUUCUACACCUAACAUACUCUUUUCACCCAUAAUAUUUUUUUAUUAAAGAAUUAAUCUACCUUUAAACCCAAAUUUAUUACCUAAACUAUCAUCUCAAACCCAAUUCAAAAUAUUAAGGUAUCGUUACACGUAUUCUCUUUAUAAAAUAACAUGUAAUUGAAUUUUUUUAUUUUUUUUAAAAAGAGGCGUCCUUGCCCCAUCCCCUUUCUUUCCACUAGCAUUUCCAUGGAUAUAUUUUUUUUGCUACCAAACCUAGACAUUUGCCUUUUUUCUUUCUACUAAUGUGGAUAAACAACAAAUCAAACAAUUCAUCCCUUUAUAUUUAUCAACAAGUAAGGAAGUUUAUAAUCUAAGAACAUUGGUAAGAAGUUUUUCAAUUUUCCAAUUGCAGAAAGUUUAAUAAACCAUUCGGGAUAGAUGAAAAAAAUUGAAACCCAAAUACUCAUAUUCUAAACUUAAAAAAAAAAAAAAUUGAAAUCAAACUAACAUAAUAUUCAUAAAUUGAGUCAUACUUUUUUUGGAAGAUUCAAAACUUCAAAAUUAUCAUCCAUCAAUAAAAAAAACUUGUUUUUUUUUACAAGACAUAUUAGGGUUUUAACCAGAAUAAACGUAUGAUAAACAAGAAGUGAUGGUAGGUUUAAUGGAUUUAUUGAUAAAUUUAAUUUUUAUUAUUAAUUUUAUUUUGUACUUAAUAUUAAUUAUAAAAUAGAAUAAAAUAAAUAAUUAACAAUUAAAGAGCCAGAGAAAACUCACUUUGGAGUAUAAACCCUAGCUCUCUGUUUCCAACACUACUUCUUUACUCUCUCUCUCCUCUCUCCUCUCUCCUCCUCCCUCGCUCCAUCCAUUCGCCGCCGUAACAUCCGCAUCUGCAACAAUGUCAUCCAUGCUGGUACGCUCUCUCUUUCAUUUCUAUGCUCACUUCAUUUGCGUAUAAGCUACUGUCCUGUGUUGUGCUAACUGUUUGUGAAAAUGCCUGAACCGGAAAAAUUGAAACCGAUAACAGCAACCACAGAUCAUACUGUUGAAGGAGGGUACGGAUACAUCGCAAGGGAAGGCGCAGCUGGUGAGCAAUAUAAACGCCUGCACGGCGGUGGCCGAUGUGGUGAGGACCACGCUGGGCCCUAGGGGCAUGGACAAGCUCAUUCACGACGACAAGGGUAGUGUUACUAUUUCCAACGAUGGCGCCACCAUCAUGAAGUUGCUUGAUAUUGUUCACCCCGCCGCAAAGAUCCUUGUUGACAUCGCCAAGUCUCAGGACUCUGAGGUAUGGUUUUUGGUCGUUACUGGGUUUUUGGAUGUUAUCCGACUUCGAUUUUGCGUAAUUUCAAGCUUAAGAGUUAAACUUGUGCUAUGGAAUCACCGAUUCGGUACUAGUGAACGUUUGGUAGUAAUGCAGAUGGAGUGCUACUUGAACAAUGUAUUUUUUUUAGCAUAUGUAGUGGUUAGAAGUGGGUGGAUGGCCUUGUUCGAUAAAAUUUCUGCUUGGAAGCAAACCCGACAGCCGAUUUGAUGUAACAGGAAAUUGUUACUGUGUAUCCUGUGUUUCAAAUGGUGAUAUAGCUUUCUUUAUUACAUCGUUUAGGAGAUAUUUAACCAUUGUUUUCGGUGCAGGUUGGUGAUGGAACCACAACAGUUGUUCUGCUUGCAGGGGAGUUUUUGAAGGAGGCCAAGCCUUUCAUAGAGGAUGGGGUGCACCCACAAAGUUUGAUAAAAAGUUAUCGGACUGCUAGCUAUUUGGUAUGGUGAUAGGAAUUAUUUUCAAUUACCAUGUCUGAUUCUUAUUAAAAAAGUUCUAUGAUUGAGACGUUUGCUCUGGUCUCUAUGUAUCUUAAAUAUUACACAUUGUGUAUAGGCAAUUGAGAAAAUCAAAGAACUUGCUGUAAACAUAGAGGGCAAAAGCCUUGAAGAGAAGAAAAACCUGCUAGGUAAAUGUGCAGCUACAACACUUUCUUCAAAACUCAUUGGUGGAGAAAAGGAGUUUUUUGCAUCAAUGGUCGUGGAUGCUGUCAUUGCAAUUGGUGAUGAAGAUCGUCUCAACAUGAUUGGAAUAAAGAAGGUAAGUUCCUAGAAUAGAUCAUAUGAAUACCUCAAGCUGAAUCCUUUGCCUAUAUUAAAUAUCUCUCUGUAAUCCACCAACUGUGUUAAUAAGAGUUUUCCAGUGGCCUUAGACUUUGGACUACAUUUCAAUAGACUGCAUUCUUUGAAAUGAUUAGAAUAAGACAUGUUCCAUGAGCCACUAGGAUAUUUGUGUAAGUUUGUUCUCCGGCCCUUGUUGGGUGUGAUUUGAGGGUCUUUAGUCCCAAACUUAAAUUUGAUUUCGUUUUGUUAGCCACUGUGCAGCUUAUCCGGUGCCUUUGACACAUUAGCCUUAAGAUGAUAUUGUUUGUUUCUUUUCAGUACUAGUUAAGCACAAUGUAGGAGUAAAAAUAAAGACUUGUUUUAAGCCUCGUAAAAUGAUUUCUGUAUUAAAGGGCUGUUUUAGUGAAGUUCACAAAGAAGAAGUUUGUCUUCUUUUGGUAUCCUGUUUGUUUCUUACAUAUUCUUUGUGAUUUUAUGUUCUUAAGAUAUCCCUUGGAUGUGACUAGAUUGAGACAGAAACAUGGGCUAAUUAUAUCUGAUGAGACGAAGAAUAUGUGGCUGUGACAAGAUAUGCAGAUGAAUAACUGCUCUUUUAUCAUUCUAAAGUCAGGUAUUCAACCCAAAACCAAUUGGCGAUGGGUUGAGAGGCCUCAUGAUUUUAAAAUAGAUAUGUAAUGCUUAGAAGUUCCAUGUACUAUGCAUUUUCUAUGGUUGAAUUAUUGAAACAAUUUGUCAACCUGGUAAACCAAACUGUGGAUAACACCUAGAAACACAACCAGGUUCAAAAGGGCAGAUUUAAAUUUGUCCUGCAGUGUAGGAAGUCGGACUUGGUUCUCAUUAUAAGCUUUGGUUGCUAUGGAUGUCGAUGGAGAUGAAUAGUAUGCAUUUAAAAUUGCACGUAAAAUAACCAACAAAGUGCACAUUGAGACUUGGAUUCUAUUCUGAUAUUUUUGACCAGUGGUUUCCCGGGGCAGAGCUGUUAAUUGUUUUUCUCCAUGGGUUUAUGAAAGCUAACUGGUAAGGACACCAUGAUGGGUGCAACCAUAACAAAGGAGGUCAGUGAGGUACAUGCUGGUGUUGUGAGAGGAAUGGUGGUAAGGUAUACGAUUAGAGGGAGGAGACAAUGGAUUGGCAAUGGGAGGAUUAUAUAGAGUUGAGGACAAGAGAGAAAGAGAUAGAGGUACAACAAUAGCGAAGGAGGUUGGUGAGGUACAGAUUGGUGUUGUUAGAGAGGGCUGGUGGUAAGCUACACGAUUGGAGGGAGGGAGGGAAUGGGUCGACAAUGGGAUGAGUAUAUAGAGUUAAGAAAGAGAGCAGGAGAUAGGGGUAGGGUGGGGUUGGGGAUGGAAACAUAAGGAAUUGAGAGAUGAGGCGUGGGAUAUAGGUAAGUUAAAGACGUUACGGGAUUAGCUUGGAUAGGAUAAUCACUAGUUUAGCUUCAAGGCAUAUUGAACAGAAAAAUGGAUGAAAACUUCCAAAUUUUGUCCAAGUUGAAGAUAGAUGGUAGGCAUGAAGGAAAGUUGUCCCUUCAAAUACUACCAUUUUAAUUGGGAUUAUAAGGGACAACUUUCUUUUAUGAGUAAUCCAUCUUUUGCCUUAAACUUGGACAAAAUUUGGAAGCUGUAAUCCAUUUUUCUAUUCAAGAUGCCUUGAAUCUACUGAGCUAUUUUACCCCAGCCAAUACUCCCUAGCAACUCACCCUAAAACUUGUUUGAUUUAUAUAUCAACAUCUACAAAUAAGCAUUAAGUUCAAUAAAGGAACUCAAAAUAUGUAUCACUUUAAGUUUUUUUUUGCCAAAAAAAUGCAAAUAUUUUAGAUAAAAUUUUAAGACAUUUGAAUUUUGAUUACUGUGUAUGAGAAAAGAGUUCGAUGCCAGUAUGUUGUGAUUGUUUUACAUUCAUUACACCAUGUUUUUUUAUUUCAACAAAAAUUACAUUAUUUUUUAUUUAUUUUUUGGCUUCAAAGUCCGUCUCUUUUUUCUUUUCUUUGUUAUCUGCUUUUUUUGCUUUAGACUCUUGCACUAUGUUCUGACUUUUUUUCUGUGACAAGAAUUGUUGUGGGUAUUGAUAUUUCUUGAUUGUUUUCAUUGUAGUAAAAGAAAGGUUAGUAAUGUUACACUGCCUUCUUCUCUUUGUGACAUUUUGAAGCCUUAUGUUUGGCCUAUUAUUAUUACUUUUUAUUUUCCUUUUGAAGUGGACAACUAGUUUUGGGAAGACAUGAUAGCUUGAAUUGAAUGAUGUGUAAUGAGAAACUGGUUGCUUUACAGGUUUCUGGGGGCAACAUGCGUGACUCCUUUUUAGUAAAUGGUGUUGCCUUCAAGAAGACAUUUUCAUAUGCUGGGUUUGAACAACAACCAAAGAAGUUUCUUAAUUCCAAGAUACUUCUACUGAACAUUGAAUUGGAACUAAAAUCUGAGAAAGAAAAUGCUGAGAUAAGGUAAAACUCAUUCGUUCCUUUUGAUAUAUAUAUAUAUAUAUAUAUAUAUAUAUAUAUAAGGUCCUACCCAGUGCACAAGGCUCCCGCUUUACGCAGGGUCUGGGAGAGGUGAAUGUCGGCUAGCCUUACCCCCAUUUAUGGAGAGGCUGCUCCCAAGUCUCGAACCCGAGACCUACCGCUCAUGGGCGAAGGCACUUGCCAUCACACCAAGUGCGACCUAUAUAUAUAUAAAAUACUUGAAUUCUUUUACAAUUUGUUUAUGCUACUUGAGGUUUUUCUCUCCACUGCAGAUUGUCAGAUCCAUCCCAGUAUCAGUCCAUUGUUGAUGCAGAAUGGAAUAUUAUUUAUGACAAGUUGGAUAAGUGUGUGCAGAGUGGGGCCAAGGUUGUUCUUUCACGGCUGGCUAUUGGUGAUCUAGCAACACAGGUGGAAAUUUCAUCUGUGUCGCUACAGUGAAAUUAUGAGGUUUCAUUGUUUCAAUUUUGAUAACAUGGUUGGUUGAUAACUUGAUAUGCAUGUGAUAAUUUAUAUCAUCCUGAUAAUAAAGUAAAAUUAUAUUUAUGACCUUGUUAAAGGCGUAGAGUUUUAUUGACAAAUUUUCUUCAUUUCUUUCGGUGAACAGUAUUUUGCAGAUAGAGAUAUAUUCUGUGCUGGACGUGUAACUGAAGAAGAUCUGCAUCGGGUAGCUGCUGCCACUGGCGGGACUGUGCAAACAUCCAUCAACAAUGUCAUUGAAGAGGUUCCUACCUCGUGCUUUUUCAGACCAUAUUUUAUGUAGAAUUGUGGGCAUUUUUUCCUAGAGUUCUUAUGUUAGUGCCCUUCUUGAGUUGGGAAGCAUCUCGCUUGUUCUCAGUAAACUAAAUUGUUUAGUUUUGUUGAUUUCUAGGUUCUUGGAACGUGCGAGUGUUUUGAGGAAAGGCAAGUUGGAAAUGAGAGGUUUAAUAUAUUUAGUGGAUGUCCAUCAGGUAGGACAGCUACAAUUGUUCUUCGUGGUGGAGCUGAUCAGGUAUGUCAUUUGUUGAAGUUACUCACUUUGGCAUGUGUGCAUAAUAAGUCUUUGUUUCUUGUUUUCUUUUUCGAAGUUUUGUUUUUCAUUCUGACCUCCGUUAUUUGCUGGGAUUCUUAUUUAGUUCAUUGAGGAAGCUGAGCGGAGUUUACAUGAUGCUAUUAUGAUUGUCAGAAGAGCGCUAAAGAAUUCAACUGUAGUUGCUGGUGGUGGUGCUAUAGAUGUAUGUGUUUCUUAGCAGUAGUUAAAUCUCACAGUAUAUGAGAAAUAUUGUAAUGAUUUUUUUGUUGAUUUUGGUGGCAGAUGGAAAUCAGCCGGUACUUGCGGCAGAAAGCACAUGAAAUCAGGGGGAAGUCUCAGUUUUUCAUUAACUCAUAUGCAAAAGCUCUUGAGGUAUGCUUUGUUGGCCUUUUACGUUACACUGUAGUGGUUUAAACCAGUGCCAAUAGUUCUGCUCACCAUGGAGAAUUUUAAGGGAGCCCAAAUAAUUCUCUAUUUAAUAUUCGUCUACUUCUAUUUUCUAACUCAUUGAUAUGGAAGGAUUUACUCCGGCAGUUUCCAAAUUAAUAUUUAGUUUGAAAGUUUUGAAAUUUAACAUAUAAUCUUGGAAAAUACUGGAUCCUAUGUCUAAUAAUAUAGUUUUUUCUUUCAUCCAAGGAUUUCAGUUCACUUCUCAAUUGUAGUUGUUGGAAUCUGUUCUAAAGUUGCACAUUUGCAACAAGUUGCGUGCGCUUUGCAGUAUUAAGCAGCUAGAGAUUAGUGGUAAAAACUUAAGGUUUAUACUUUUUAGUUUUUCCUUUUUGGUCAACAGGGUCUAUACUUUUAGUUUAGCAGUUUUUAGAUUUAGUUACUUUUGAAGCAGUUCUCCUGGAUUCAACUGAGACACAAUGCCAGAAUGAGCUGUCAGCAUAGCCUACAGAGAUCUAGGUUUUUAACAUUUUCAUUUGGUUGGACUUUGUGAGGAGUUAAAUAGUUUUAGUACUUUAAUGUAGGUUGGGAAACUAUUUCCUCAAGCACCUAAGGUUGGUACUGCUUCUGCCAUGUAGAGUGUAGUAAGAUAGAAUUUAACCUACUUAUGCUACGAAGAUCAUGUUUUUUUUAUGUGGCUGGGUUUUAGUGAUUUAUAUUGAGAGUGCCAGAAGACUGGGUUAUGGUAGUUUAAUAAUUCUCCUUUCGUUCUAUUUUUCUCUUUGGGUAAGUGUUUUUUUUCUGUUGGUUUAGGUGUUUCAUGGACUACUGGUCCGUGCUUAUCUCAUUCCUUGUGUUAUCUCCGAAUAAUUAUUCUGUUUCUUAUGAACAAAAAACAAGAAGACUGCAGAGCUCAUUGUGGCAUUUAUUUGUUAUGGGGUUAGGAUCCCAAGACACCCAUUUUUUGACACAUUUUGCCACCUAUUUUGUAGAGACCACUUUGUAAUGUAUUUCAACGUUCCAUACCUUCUGUAUUUCAACGAUCCAUACCUUCUGUAUUUCAAGUUAUCAUUCAUAGAUAAUCCUUGCUAAAAAUUAGACAAAUCCAAAACCAUUAAUACAUUCAUUUGUAAUGAAGAAAAUGAAUGAAUGUGGUACUGUGAAGAAACAUUAAAAUGACCAUCAUUUAAGCCAAUGGUCAUUAGGUUUUAGAUUUGGGUGAUUUUUUGUAGACAUGAUCUUUGAGGGAAGAUCUAAAAGAUGGUUCGGGUAUUUGAAAUACCUUGCAAAGUGGGCCCUACAAAAUGGGUGUAAAAAAGUGUCCUUCGAUCCUGGCCUAUAUUUAUGAUUUCUCACCACUCUUGAAAUUAGUUUUACCAUAUAAAUAAUUUUUUUUUUGUCUUGAAAAACAUUAGUAUGAUAUCUAGAUAAGCUGCAAGUUUGGGAUAGAAUAAUUCAUGUGCGAAUCAUCUAGUUUUGACAUUAUUGGUUGGGGAGUGUGUCCGUUGAGUUCUUGUGGAACUGCUAGUUCUAACUUCUAAGUUCAUUUGUUGUGGUCUUGAUGGAGACGAUGAGCAUGAUACAUUUGAUGUUUUUGAAGGCUUUCUUGAUAUAGAAAAAAUAAACACUUCUGUCUACUGCGAAUGGGAGCGUGAUACUGAUUGAAUGAAGCAUAAGUAUUGUCUUAAUCAGCAGUGUUCCACUAAUGUUGCAGGUUAUCCCACGACAACUGUGUGAUAAUGCAGGAUUUGAUGCGACUGAUGUGCUAAACAAACUUAGACAGAAACACGCGCAUCCAUCUGGUUGGUUUCUCAAUUUGUCUGACCUUGCUUAUCUAUUUAUUUCAUUAUUUUGUUUGUAAGUCACAGCUCGUGUUGGAGCCAAAGCAAACAUUCAUUUCUUCUAUUUAUUGAAGGAAAAAUUAAUCUGUUAGCUGCAAAGAAGGAUGUGAUGUGUUGGAUGGUUAUUUCUAGUAUUUGGCUUUUGAUUAGUGAUUAAUUAUACUUGUUUGCUAAACUACUCAAUACUUUUUAACAGGCGAGGGUGCACUUCAUGGAGUUGACAUCAACACAGGUGGAAUUGCGGAUUCAUUUGCUAACUUUGUCUGGGAGCCAGCAGUUGUGAAGGUUUCCUGUUAUCUUUCUAUCUGUAGAUGUGUUACAUGAGUGAGAGAUUUAUUAGUUUUUAACAACAUAACACUAUCAUUUCCUGUAGAUCAAUGCUAUAAAUGCUGCUACCGAGGCUGCUUGCCUUGUUUUAAGUGUCGACGAGACGGUAAAAAACCCAAAGGUAAUGUGAAUUCUGUUUUCUAUUUAUUAUGAUUAUGCCUAGCUCACUUUCAUAUCAUUUAAGUUCUUUAGAUAUUGAGUGCGAUACAAAAAAAAAAAAAAAAAAAAAAAAAACUUACGCUUCUCCGUCUUCCACCAAAUGCAUUUGUUUCAGAUGUUUUAUAUUUUACGGAUAAGUAAAACAAUGUCUUUUUUUUUGUUUUUUUUUUCUUUGUACUAUUUAUGUGGAAAUGCAGUCUG
rnacentral:lncRNA from 1 species